AACGCAUAUUGCGCCCCAUGGUAUUCCGUGGGGCAUGCCUGUCCGAGCGUCAUUGCUCCCCUCAAGCUCUGCUUGGUAUUGGGCCCUGCUAGUCAUAGCCAGCCCUAAAUCCAGUGGGCCCAGCCCCGAGGAACCUAGGUGUGGUUUAUCCUCCGCCUCAGGCCCUCGCGACCGGUGCCUAUCCCAAUCCCUCUGUGGUUGACCUCGGAUCAGGUAGGAAUACCCGCUGAACUUAA
rnacentral:misc_RNA from 1 species